AUGUUGGAUGAUGAAAGAAACAGACGGAUUCCCGAUGAUGUCCAAAAAUGAUAUUAGUAACCAGCUACUUCUGACACAU
rnacentral:snoRNA from 1 species